GAGAGGGAAGUGUUAACUCUCAGGAGAGCCAAAGGCCCUGCCCGAGAGUAAAGAGGACGCCUCCCCUCCCCCUCUUCCAGGUUCCUCCUUCCCAUGCUUUCCCGGAAGCCUCUGCAAAGCCCAGUUUCCAGAACCACCGGCACUGUCCCACGUAGGGCUCGCCGUGCAGAGUGGAUGGAUACGGAGAGCGUCUGUCUUCUAGAUUGUGCACCUGUUUAGUGUGGCCCCAGAGUGAGGCUAGGGCUGUGCAUGUCACACACACGAAGAGACACGGUGCUUUCUGGGUUCCAUUAGCAGGUCUUGAUUUGGCCAGUCAACAGUCUGAAAGUUCAGGAUCUCCUGAUCAGAACCAGGAAGUCCAUAUGCAGGCUGCACUGAAGGUCACGCUUUUGAAACGUUGAAACAAAGCACAAAGGAAGUGGUGCCCAGUCGGAUCAGGUCUGGAGGUGGUACAUCUGACUGGGAGGAAGGAGAACAGAGAAGGAAGCCUGCUGCUCUGAGGGAGGACCAGAAGAGUAGGCAGUGUGAGUCCUUGGCCCUUGCGUGCAGGCUGAAAUCAUCAUUGAACGGAAACAACAAACAGUAAAGAGAUGCUAGCCGCCAAGCAGCAGAGAGAGAGAGAGAUGUAGAAGAUGCCCACCCAAACAGGAGUCUCUGGAAGCCUUCGGGUGGAUCAGGCACAGACAGUGUUCACUCACUUCUAAUGAGCUUCAUGAUACCUAGACAGAGUCUUCAACGCAUGUUGAUCACCAGCUAUGAGUCAAACCAAUGGCAAAGAUGCCCUCAAAGUCUUGCUCUAAUGACACAAUCCUUAGUGUCUGGAUGAAUCCUCCAUCUCUUCUAGGCUUCUCCUACUCAGUCUCCCUAGGAUGUGGGACGUAAGGGCGGCAGGAGGGACCUUUCUUUACACCGUUACUGAUACAGGAUAAAUAACCCUCAGUUCCGUAAAC
rnacentral:lncRNA from 1 species